GUCACGUGCUUGGGGACAUGUGUACCUGCUUUGGUCAAGAAGAACUGUUAAUAUAUUAGAAAAUGGCUUUGAUAGCCCCUGGCUAUAACCAUCCCAGGCCAAAGGAGUUCAGUGUCAAUUAGGAUAAAUACUUUAAUGUAAUUUGCACCAUUGCUGCUGUCUGGGAGUAGAGGAAAUGAAGAACUAGAAAUCUAGAAGCAGUUUUUGUUUGUGUGAAGGCAGAGGAAAAGAAGAGAUGGCCUCACACCAGUGUUUCUCAAAGGGAAUUUCACAGAACUGGUCCAGCUUUGUGAAAAUACAAUACAAUACAGAUGUGAUUAAUAGAUUCUAAAUUAUCCUCUUACAGAUCCAAAUUUAAAAUAGCAUAUUAAAGGCUCUGAAAAGUACUGCCGUGAAGAAACAUGCCCCUUUUUAUUCUUUUUUUUUUUUUUUUUUUUUUUGAGACAGAGUCUCACUCUGUCACCAAGGCUGGAGUGCAGUGGUGCGAUCUCGGCUCACUGCAAGCUCCACCUCCCGGGUUCACCCCAUUCUCCUGCCUCAAUCUCCUGAGUAGCUGGGACUACAGGUGCCCGCCACCACACCCGACUAAUUUUUUUGUAUUUUUGGUAGAGACGGGGUUUCACCGUGUUAGCCAGGAUGAUCUCAAUCUCCUGACCUUGUGAUCCUCCCAAAGUGCUAGGAUUACAGGCGUGAGCCACUGCACCCGGUGCCCCUUUUUAUUCUUUGAUGACAUCUUUUCAUCCCAGUGCUUGCAGUGGUGCUGCCAUGACUGCUUGCCAGUGGAUUCUGUAAAUGAUCAGGAAUAAUAAUGCUCUCAGUGACAGACAAUGAGAGUAACAUCUUAACACAAAAUAUGCUGUGUGAUGGGUGGCGUCUCUUCUUGCUAUGUGGUGUCUCUUCUUUUUUUGCCCUGGAAAGAUCCCCAGACUGACAUAGAACACAGUCACAGAUGCCCUGGGGACAUCAUACACUGUGAUGCUAAACACCUGCUUUCAUCCACAUACAGAGUGCUCUUCAAGGAUAGCACGGAGGAAAGAACCACUUAGAAUGGGGCCAGGCAGCCCUGCCAACAUCUCUGCCACUUAACCUUGAGCAAACUGCUUCACACUCGUGAGCCUCAGUGUCUGCAUCUGCAAAACAGGAAUAACACCAACCUUAUAGGACCUUUUACAAUGGUUUAGUGAUUUAGAAUGUAUUAGGUUGGUGCAAAAGUAAUUGUAGUUUUGCCAUUAAAAGUAAUGAUCAAAACAGCAAGUACCUUUGCGACAACAUAAUAAGAUAUCAGACCAUGAUAGUUGUGAUUAUUGCAGAGCUCCUGGGGUAUCUGAGACAUGAAUAAAGUAAGCACCUGGCACU
rnacentral:lncRNA from 10 species